CGCUAUGAAAGUUUGAUUGAGGUCUGGUUCUUGCAGAAGGCUAAAAGGAGACCGCUUAUUGUAGAAGCUUGAUCGAAGAUCGAUUGUCGUGGGAGCUUGGAGUAGCGAUCUGGCCAGUGGAUCCUGUCUCGCUGUAGAAGCUCGUCUGGGAUCCGGCUACGAAGAAGCUCGGCUGAAGUCUACUUGUAAUGGAAGUUCGGAAGAGACAUGUUUACAGUAGGGGCUCGAAUGGAAUUUUCUUACAGUAAAGAUCCGAAGU
rnacentral:lncRNA from 1 species